UACGGGGGGGGUAAGCGUUGUUCGGAAUUACUGGGCGUAAAGGGCUCGUAGGCGGCCAACUAAGUCGGACGUGAAAUCCCUCAGCUUAACUGGGGAACUGCGUCCGAUACUGGAUGGCUUGGAUUUGGGAGAGGGAUGCGGAAUUCCAGGUGUAGCGGUGAAAUGCGUAGAUAUCAGGAGGAACACCAAUUGCGAAGGCAGCUCGCUGGGACGUGACUGACGCUGAGACGCGAAAGCGUGGGGAGCGAACAGG
rnacentral:rRNA from 1 species